rnacentral:lncRNA from 1 species
AGACACCUGAUACAUAUAGUGCCAGUCAAGGCACAACACACAGAGGAAUUCAGCAAUUAAUUGAGGGGCUCUACUUUAGUGUGAGGCACCGGAAGCGAACCCUCUACCGUCAGAAUGGUAUAACUCUACAAUAUAAUAGGUUGAUAAAUUCAAGCUACUGUAUGCAUCCUACUCCACCAACAUUGGAAUUAGCAAAUAAUGUAGUAGCACAGUUCAGCUCAAUCAUUGAAUUCUGUUCUUUAAAUGACCAGUGUGUAGGAUUUAGUGGUAUCGAUCAUUGAGAUUUGACGAUUGCAACCAGCUUCCCUCACCUCUAUCUUUCCAAGCUACGGUAGCCGACGAGAAAAUGUGUGAGGUACUAUCUAAACCCAGUGUUUGUUUGUCCGUUGUGGGCUACUGUAUGAACAUGGAUUUGCAACAUAGCGGCCUCCGUGGAAGGGGAACAUAUUUAGAUAAAAAACUGCCCAUUCUAAAGUAAUUAAUGCACAAUUAUUAUUUUCAGGCAAUCAUGAAAAGUGUGUGUGUGUUAUUCCUGCAAAUAGAUUCCCCCCAAAAUGUUACACUGGACCUUUUUUUCCCAUGUCAGUCUACAUUAUAAUUUUCACGUACUUCAAUAACUGCAACUUUGUUUUUAAAUUUUUUGGUGCUAUAAUUUCUUUCUUGCUUAAGAGUUCUGUCAAAAACCUAUGCCUCUGUACUUCAUGUCUUUCUAGACAGCAGCAAGUUUCGCCAUCGCCUUCGAAGAAAGCUGGCAGAAGACAAAAAACUCCUUCUUCAGGAGAUACAGAAAUACAAUGAUCUUGUACUAGAAUCGGCAACAACCAUUGACGUAGCUGUGGUGGAGCAUUCCCUAACUGGAGAGAGUACUGUGUCUCAAAUAUGGCCGUGGGAAGUUCAUGGCAGUGCAAACAUUUCAAUCAAGAAACGAGUGCACGAUCAAGUGAUGUUAACAAGGCGACUGCAUGAGGAAACAAGAGUUUUGGUUUGGAGAUGGCACAACACUGCACAUGGUUCUCAAGAACAAGUUGGCUGAGGAGGACCAGGGAAAUGAGGGACUUUGCUGUCUCUUAAGAAGAAGACUGUCAGAGGUGUCAGAAAGGUUCCAAGUGGUCCUCCAACAGUACAAGACUGCCUUAGGUCCUGAGGCCUCUGUCCUUCUACAUGUUGAAGAGGAAGAUCAAAGUGACCUCAGUAGUCCAGACACCAGUGAGGAUGAAGAGGAAAACACAAUUUAGAUGGAAGCUGCACGAAGGACUAUGUUGAAGGAAAUGGACUUGCCCUAUAUCUGUGUAUUAUUAGUAUGCUGAUUGAUUAACCACAUCAAAAUCUUGUUGAAAAUUCAAACUGUGUCUUUAGAUUUUCCAAGCAAUUUAGUAAGCACAUUGCACAGUUCAUUGAAAAUGCACAAACCUCUCAUUAUAGGUGCACCAAUCUUAGCCAAAAAUGUUGCAUGUAUGAUAUUACCAGAUGUAAUUACUGUGCUCAUAUGAUAUUUGGGUAGUGUAUACUCUUCUAAAAGAGAGACUCCCCUUGAUUGUGGUGACCCUGUAACCUUUCCUUUUGCACCAAUGUUAGGCCAAACUUUUGACUUGCAUACAACAAAUGUUAUGAACCGAUUUCUGUAAUUUUCUGAGCAAUGAAUCAUGUCAUGUUGACCUUAUGACAUUCCCUGUAGCACAAUCAUUAGACCAGAAUGUAAUAUUGAAUAUUGUCUAAUUGGGCAGAUUGCCAUGAAAUCUUGUAAGCACAUGAUGACUUUGGUGACCUCAUGACAAUUCCUCUAUCAUCACAUUCAGGCCUUAAUGUAAAAACUCAUUCUUGAUUGCAUUUCUCAAUAUUCACUUAUUCUGUGGUGCAGUGUCAGUCUAUGACAUUUUGUUUUUCCCCAGAGGAGGCUGCCUAUGGAUCACUACUUGAUUGAGUGUAUUAUAUAACUGUUGUGUAACUUUAUAUUACUGCAAAGAUGCAUUAUAGUAUGUAACAGAAAAAUACAGUUUUUUAUUUUACGAUUAUACUUUAUAUUGUAUAUUAUUACAGUUGACAGAUGACUUAAUUCUUUGUUCUGCUGGAGCUUUUCAAGUGAACUUAACCUCACAGUCCAAUGUUUUUAAAUACAGCCUUAUGGCUUGUUUGACAAAUAUGUAUUUGGUGUAUUUUCACUGGUAUUGUUGUGAAAGACAAGAAAUAAAGUAUUUCCAAAGAUUAAUAUUUUGU